rnacentral:sRNA from 1 species
AUAUGAAAACAAAAUUAUUAUGGAUGUUAUAAAAGAUUAAAUUAAGAAAGAAGAAUGAAGACCAUAGAGAAUAAAACUCGAAAUAAGAGUUUUUUUAUUGUUUUCUCUUUCUCUACUCUUUUUUCUCUGUUUUCUCUGUAACUUACAAAUGAAUGAAAUGAGCUAUAUAUAGUAGAGCUUACUUAGCUAGGAAGUAAAUUACUUAGCGAAAAAGUAAUGGAUAAACAUCAUCCAUAUCUUAGAGAAGAAGUAAUGGAUAAACAUCAUCCAUAUCUUAAGGAUGAAGUAAUGGAUAAACAUCAUUCAUAUCUUAGGGAAGAAGUAAUGGAUAAACAUCAUCUACAUCUUAUGGAUAGAGAUGAGUGAUGGAUAAUCACAUCCAUACUUAUCAAGUUUAUAACACUCCCCCUUGAGUAUCCAUCACUUUUGAUGAGUUACGUAUUGCCUCGUUAAAAACCUUAUCAUGGAAAAAUCCAUUGGGAUAAAAACCAUGACAAGGGAAAAAGAGUACAGUGACGUGAACUCCCCCUCGAAGGGACUUCACAGGUUUCGUAGAUGACGCAUUCCAAUGCUUUGAACAUGAUUUUUAAAUGUAGAAGUUGGAAGCGCCUUUGUGAAUAGAUCUGCUGCAUUGUCACUUGAACGAAUGUAUUGCACCUCUACUUCCUUGUUCUUCUCGAGUUCUUGAGUGUAAGAGAAGAAUCGUGGAGGGAUAUGCUUCGUUCUGUCGCUCUUGAUAUAACCUUCUUUGAUUUGAGCAACACAUGCAGCAUUAUCUUCAUAUAUUCUUGUUGGCUCUCUUUUGAUGACUAAUCCACUUGCUUCUUGAAUAUGAUUAGUCAUGGAUCUAAGCCAAACACAUUCUCUAGAUGCUUCAUGAA